AACGCAUAUUGCGCCCGAGACCUCGGUCAAGGGCAUGUCUGCCUCAGCGUCGGGUUUCCCUCACAAUAUACUUAUAUUGUGGACUUGACGGCCCGCCUUGCUAUUUUAUAUCAUGGUGGCCCGUUGAAAAGCAGUCGCUUGUGCUCCAUGCGAAAACGCAAAGCCAAAUGGUGCGCAGCUGGGCAAGCAAUAUCUUGUUGUUUUUGCUCGUGAGUCUGCCCGCUUAUUCUGGUUGUUUCUGCCAAGGAGAAAAACAUAAGCAAAUAUCAGGACGAAACCCUAUCAUACUUUAUUCUCGACCUGAGCUCAGGCAAGAUUACCCGCUGAACUUAA
rnacentral:misc_RNA from 1 species